rnacentral:sRNA from 1 species
GGCGGUUGCUCGCAGCGCUGUACCGCUGCGAGCAACCGCCACAGUUGCGUCUUGCGGAGGGAC